GGAACCACCAGCAAGUGAAGCAGUUAGAACACACACAACAUUUAUCAAUUAAGUUCUCCAUCUUCUACGGGUGCAGUUUGUGAUGCCUCAAAAUAAUUUCAAUGGUAACAUUUAAGAUCCCUGAUCACAGAUUACCAUAGUAGAUAUAACAAUAAUAUGAAAGUUUGGAAUAUUGCAAGAAUUACCAAAAUGUGGCACAAAGACAUGAAUUGAGCACAUGCUGUUGGAAAAAAAAUGGCACCUAUAGACUUGCUUGACACAGGGUUGCCACAAAGCUACAAUUUGUAAAAAAAUAAAAAUAAAAAAAACAAAUGCAGUAUCUGUGUCUGU
rnacentral:lncRNA from 10 species